CCUACGGGAGGCAGCAGUGGGGAAUAUUGCACAAUGGGGGAAACCCUGAUGCCGCAACGCCGCGUGAAGGAAGACGGUUUUCGGAUUGUAAACUUCUGUUCUUAUUGAAGAAUAAUGACGGUACCGUAAGAAUAAUCCACGGCUAACUAAGUGCCAGCAGCCUCGGUAAUACGUAGGUGGCAAGCGUUAUCCGGAUUUACUGGGUGUAAAGGGCGGGUAGGCGGGAUUGCAAGGCAGAUGUGAAAACUAUGGGCUCAACCGAUAGAGUGCAUUUGAAACUUGAGUUCUUGAGUGAUGGAGAGGCAGGCGGAAUUCCCGGUGUAGCGGUGGAAUGCGUAGAUAUCGGGAGGAACACCAGUGGCGAAGGCGGCCUGCUGGACAUUAACUGACGCUGAGGCGCGAAAGCGUGGGGAGCAAACAGGAUUAGAUACCCCUGUAGUC
rnacentral:rRNA from 1 species